GACGAACGCUGGCGGCGUGCCUAAUACAUGCAAGGAGAACGCAGUUGCGAACGGGUGAGUAACGCGUAGGUAACUGCCUCAUAGCGGGGGAUAACUAUUGGCAAAGAUAGCUAAUACCGCAUACUGUGAGAUGGACCUGCGUUGUAUUAGCUAAUUGGUGAGGUAAAGGCUCACCAAGGCGACGAUACAUAGCCGAACUGAGAGGGGGAUCGGACACACUGGCACUGAGCAACGGCCCAGUCUACUACGGUAGGCAGCAGUAGGGACUCUUCGGCAAUGAACGGAAGUCUGACCGAGCGACGCCGCGUGAGUGAAGAAGUUUUUCGGAUCGUAAAGCCCUGUUGUUAGAGAAGCGGAACUAACCAGAAAGGGACGGCUAACUACGUGCCAGCAACCGCGGUAAUAC
rnacentral:rRNA from 1 species